UACGUAGGUGGCAAGCGUUGUCCGGAAUUAUUGGGCGUAAAGCGCGCGUAGGCGGUCCUUUAAGUCUGAUGUGAAAGCCCACGGCUCAACCGUGGAGGGUCAUUGGAAACUGGGGGACUUGAGUGCAGAAGAGGAAAGCGGAAUUCCACGUGUAGCGGUGAAAUGCGUAGAUAUGUGGAGGAACACCAGUGGCGAAGGCGGCUUUCUGGUCUGUAACUGACGCUGAGGCGCGAAAGCGUGGGGAGCAAACAGG
rnacentral:rRNA from 1 species